rnacentral:rRNA from 1 species
CCUACGGGAGGCAGCAGUAGGGAAUUUUCGUCAAUGGGCGCAAGCCUGAACGAGCGAUGCCGCGUGAGUGAAGAAGGCCUUCGGGUCGUAAAGCUCUGUUGCGGGGGAAAAAAGGCAGCAUCAGGACAUGGGUGCUGACUGAUGGUGCCCCGCCAGAAAGUCACGGCUAACUACGUGCCAGCAGCCGCGGUAAUACGUAGGUGGCGAGCGUUAUCCGGAAGGAUUGGGCGUAAAGGGUGCGCAGGCGGUCCUGCAAGUCUGGAGUGAAACGCAUGAGCUCAACUCAUGCAUGGCUUUGGAAACUGGAGGACUGGAGAGCAGGAGAGGGCGGUGGAACUCCAUGUGUAGCGGUAAAAUGCGUAGAUAUAGGGAAGAACACCAGUGGCGAAGGCGGCCGACUGGACUGUUGCUGACGCUGAGGCACGAAAGCGUGGGGAGCAAAUAGGAUUAGAUACCCCAGUAGUC